CGAGGAUGAAGAGUGGCUUUUGAAAGAAGCAAAGAAAGGAACCGCUGACGAGACUCAAGUACAAAUCCGCAUGGACGCAACAUUCUAAAGAAGAACUGCAGUUCUAGCGUCAUGUCCCCCCCAUCAACACAGUCAGACAGCAGUUUCCUUACCUCAUGACUUCUAUAAGGUUUCUCAAGGAGUAUGAGAGACUUCAGGGCGAGGAUCCGCUGCUCCACACAAAACCCGGUCUUCAGAAAAUUAGAGACGUUGCUGUUGCCGGAAAGAUAGUGUCCACCAGAGCUGCCACAGAUAAUAUGUGAAGUCCCUACACUUUCUGUCGGCGAAACACGUCGGAACCACGUCCUUGCAGUGUAUGCGGCGCAAAUAAUCUGCAACUGCGUGAGGGAUCCAAACGCUUGCGAUACCCUUUUUGUAAAAUAUGAUGUAAGUUGCCUGUUCCUUUUCUAGGGAUGGAAAUGGCAUAAUUGAACAAACUUUACUUGUUUACUGUUGAUUUUAUAUUGAACGUCUUAGUAUGAAUGACUGUAUUAGAGAUAUCAACAUUACGCCACUGUGAGUGAUGUAACACGACCGACACUGCAGGCUCAUCACACUAGUGUAUGAUAUGUUGCUGAUGUGUUGCUGGUGUAUUCAGCUCAUGCAUAUAGAUGUCUUUCAUUCGCUACAGAGUUUUAUGAGAAAACUCCAUGCAUGAUGUACCGAGGUGAAAUUCUUGCAACUGGUUUAUAGAGUCAGCUGAAAAAUUAUAAAAUAUGUUCUGACUGUAGCGUAGCUAUAUUUUACUUCACUAAGUGACUUCUCAGGUCGGGCUUAUAUUUUCUUUGAAGUUCAAAAUAAUUGCAUUGUAGCGACCCUAUUAGCACCAGUUUCAGAUUUUGCGCAUCAGCAUGCAUGCUGUUGCAUGUGGUAUGCUGUUCUCAAAUAUCCCUGAAAUGGUAAUGCCAAAGGUAAAAUGACUCUACAUCGUAGGGAUUAUGCAUAGUCUCAUCCCUGAUGCAUCACAUUCACUGUAUUCAUGUAAUUAAUUCAGACUGUGUCUGCAAAUGACUGCAUUUAUUUGAUCCUUUGGUACGAUGAUUCGGUACAAGGUGUUGGUCAAAUUAACAUAUUCCUAGCAAUGAUCUAAUUACCAGAAGAUACCUGUGGUUAGAUGCAGCAUUUCUAUUGAUGUCCCCAAUUUCUUCCUUCGUAUGUCACUCUAGUGGACAGGAUAUCGCAUACUCCCUCUGCUGCAUCAGAAGCAGUGUGCCCAGUUUCAGUAUCACUUGGAGAAUUUCGACAGUAAAAGAAAAAUUUUGCCUAUGUUCUGCACGAUCAGUUUUACCAGAACAAUCCUUAAUACAUUUUAAUAACUUGUACAAAUUAUGUUAAUGUUGAUUGUCCUAUAAGUAUUUGUUCCUUUAUAACUUUGCAGGGACUUACCAAGUAAGCAUAGUUUCGUAUACUGGGCUAAGAUAUAUAAGAACAGAUUGAUUUUAGAUCAUGCAGUACAAUAUUUAACUUGUA